GCGCCUGCGCACGCACGCGGCCAACGGCAGCAUCCGUUUUUCCGCGCCAGCGGCCUUGAAGGGGCGGUGGCCGACGGGCAAGUAGGGACCGAGAGGGUCUGGAGGGGCGACCAGCCUGGCACAGAGGGGAAGGAAGACAGCGGGAUGCUGAGUGCCGUCUGGGGAGCCGGAGGGCCCGGGGCGGGCGGGGCUGCUCGAGGACAGCCGAGCAGAAAAGAAUUGAUGCUGAGGCACCACCUUUGGAGCCGCCCUCGCUGCCGGCCCUUCCCGCUGAGCUCACUCCCCGCUUCUACCCUGGGGCUUCCUGGAGCCACUUCUCACAUGAGCUGCUUGUCCCCAAAUAUUGCCUCAGAGCUUGCUCCCAGGGGAACGCAGACUCAGACCGUCCUCUUUGGAGAAGUAAGGCUGCCUCUGCUGAGUCUCCUGCAGUGGACGGAGGAGUGAGGGGGGCGAGGAAACGCAGACCUUCCUCUGGGGCAGCGACUGCUGCUACCCUGCCGAGAAGUUUGCUGCCCGUGGCAUUGCCACUUCCAUGAAGGAAAUCUGUCUUCUCUUUUCAUGUCUUUGUUCUGA